UAUAGUAGUAAAAUUCAGAAUACGGACAUUUUUAAUUCUACUAGUCCUUGCUUGUUACUUGUUGGUUGGUCGAAAAUGAACUGAAUUAAAUUGAGAUGAGAUUCGCCAUGAUGGUGCUAGUACGAAGCUAAGUGGUAUUUACAGCAGUACAAAUAGUUGUUAGUUGUAAGUUAAACAUGCAUAUAUAUGUUUUGUUUGUUUGUUUGUUUUGCAUUGUGAAAUGUGAUCCCGCAUCAACAAAACACAAUUCGCUGAUUAAAAUUAAACAAUGUCAUCUCGUUCAUUCAACAAGUCUUUAGAAAUAGAAGAAACCCGUUUAAGUAUGCCACACGACGAUGAUAAUGAUCAAUCAACACCAAGAACACCACCAGUACAACCCCAAUCUUCACGGUCAGAUGAUAGCUGUUUGGAGUUGAUAGGUGAUAAUAAUUAAUUAGUUUUUUCACCAGGUCCUUCGAAAAAAGUACAUCCUUCAUUGUUAGUUUAGUGGUGGUGACAAGAAGUGAAAAUGUAACCAAGAUAGCCGUGAAUUAUAAAAGCAAGGACAUGAAAAAUAGCACCUACUCUCAAUGUCUUAAGGAGAAGCAAAAGCAGAAAUCCAACUUCCUCCAUGAUUUACAGAACAAAGUUGAGCUGAUUAAUUUUGACUGGAAUGACCAUGUUGAACUUGAAAUAGGUUCAGUGAACAUCAUCAAAAGAAAAAAGCUCAAAGAAUCUGUUCAAGAGUACUUCAAAAAAAAUAAUAUCUUCACUGAUAGUUCAGUGGUGGUGUCAACAAGUGAAAAUGUAACCAAGAUAGCAGUUACUUAUACUUAUAAAUGCAUUAUGGACAAGGAAAAAAACACCUACUCUCAAUGUCUCAAGGAGAAACAAAUGAUGAAAUCCAAGCUCCUCGACGAUUU